UUAUAUAAAUACUGUUCGGCUUCUCGCACAAACCGAUCGUUUCGUUUCUUAGGAUAUCAAUGUGUCGUCACGAGCGGCAGGGUUUAAUUUGGAUUUGUCUGUGCAUGUUUUUACUGUCUGAGAUUUUGUUACUAUUCACAUGCAUACAGACUGAAACGGUUGGAGUUUCUACAUUUGUGUUGUACUGAAGAAACAAAAUCACAUACAUCUUGGAUGGCCUCGGGACCCUUUUGCCAGUAUGAAGCCGAUUUCAACGGUAACUGCAGAAAGCGUCAGCACGCUCAGCUCAUCACUGGAGUAACGUCUGUACAACGGGUGAGAUAAACUCAACGCCUGACUGAAUCAUCCAUUCCCUUUUCGAUCCUACGCCAUACGUUAAACUUGAGGUAAUCUUGCUUUUGCUGUUCUAAAAUAAACACUGCUCUUAGGUAAGAAUGGCUGAUCAAAUGCAUUAUUUUAAAUCUAAUCUGAGACACAAAGCAGUUAAAUCGUUGUCUAAUUUGCUGCAAGGUAUUAAGAACGACAGUAAGCUUGUUGACGAUGAUCUGACUGAUGACUGAU